CGCGCAUGCGCGAUAACGGUCGGCUCGGAAUUGUCUGUCGUGAGGUAAAAUGGCGGCAUGCUGAGGAGAGCAUUUCUCUUUGUAUGGCAGUACUGAUAUGCGGCAGGUACUGGCUUGUUCAGUAGACUCUCCUCUACAGUUCCAUUUCAGCGGGAAGCCUUAGCCUUGAGCGGUUGUGUUGUUAAAGUGCCAAGUAUGGAACCCUGCGCAGACGGUCAGUCAAUGCGACUUAAGCAACGUGCAGUCAUUGAAUUCUUGACCGCAGAAGGAGUCGCCCCAAAGGAGAUUCAUCAGAGAAUGCAAGCUGUUUAUGGGGAUUGUGUGGAUGUGAGUACUGUGCGUCGUUGGGUGAAAAAGUUUAAAGACGUUGAGGUGGGAACCUCUGACUUGCGUGACAAAGAAAGAAUUGGACGUCCUGUGACAGCAGCCACCGAGUUUCACAAGCAAGAGGUUGACAGAUUGAUUCAGGACGAUCGUUGUAUCACUCAGAGAGAAAUUUCAAGCAUAAUCGGCAUUUCGCAAGAACGUGUGGCUCACAUUAUUACUUUGCUUGGCUAUCAGAAGAUCUGUGCACAAUGGAUUGCGGAAAAACAGAGCAUCUAGGACGGCUUCAGAAAACGUGUUCAUCGUUGGCAGAAAUGUAUCCAAUUGUCUGGUGAUUAUGUCGAAAAGUGAAUAGUGGUAGUUAAAGAGCACAUUCUAAGGAUGAUUUCUGCAUUUGGUUUAUUAAAAUAUUUCCAUCCAAA